rnacentral:lncRNA from 8 species
AUGGAUGGGAAACCUUCCGAGUCCACCUCCGAGACUGAGACUGACGAACAAGCUGGACCUGCCACGGAAGACGUAAAGGUGUCCGUGCCAGAGAGCGGCCGUGUGGUCACCUCAGUCAAAGAGGUGGUGUCAUCAGUCAAGGAUACAACCAGUCAGGGAGUCGAGGGCAAAGUGUUGACCGCCAUUUCUGCCGGCAGCGCCUCUGCUGGAGCCGCAGGAGCCGGAGCCACCGGCGAGGAGGCCUAUGGGGAAGAGACCAGCCCUUACGACGGCUAUGAUACGGAUAGUUAUGGGAACUACGAAUCAUACUAUGACGAGUCCACGGCCACGCCCGACGGCACUCGCAGAGUUACCAUCAGCAGCUCGAGCACGGGGACCGGCGCAGGGGUGGAGCUGGACCUGGGGCUGGGGUCAAAGUUUGACCUGGGCACGGGAGCGGAGUUUGAGAAGGUCAUCACCAGUAGUGGAGGAGUCACCAUCACACGCAACAAGACCUCGGCUGGAACAGGCUACGAUGACAACUACGGUGAGGGCUAUGACCUGUCCUAUGGAGAGGGAGAGGGAGAGGAGUACAGCAUCGGUGGCGGUGGCCACGACAGCAGAACCAGCAGCAGCAGCAGUACUGUUGAAAUCGGUACUGGUGGUGGUGGUGGUGGAUCUGUAUCAGUCGGGGGCGGUUCUGUUUCCGUUGGGGGCGGUUCCGUUUCCGUUGGUGGUGGUUCCGUUUCCGUUGGGGGCGGUUCCGUCUCUGUAGGUGGAUCUGCCAGCGCCGGAGGUGGGACGGCAAGAGCAGGAGCUGGAGCUGGGGAUUCGGUUGCUACGGGAGCCGGGGGCCAGGGUGUGGCUAUUGAGGGAGACUACACUGAUCUGGAGGGUGAUCGGUUCAAAGAGGAGUCCAUCUCUGAGUAUGGGGACGCAGACUAUGGUUAUGGAGACCUGGACUACGGUGGACAGGAGGAGAAGGUGCUGCCAGCCGAGACAGACGAGUACUACGGACAGGUAAGGACGAUGAUGAUGAUGGUAAUCAUGAUGAUAAUGAUAAUAAUCAAAAUUGUAGUGAUGAUAAUGAUGAUGGUUGUACUGAUGAUGAUGGUGAUGGCGGCAAUAUACUAUGAUGAUGAUGAUGGUGGUGAUGGUGAUGAUGAUGGUGGUGCAGAUGAUGAUGGUGGUGGUUGUGAUGAUGAUGGUGGUGGUGGUGAUGAUGAUGGUGGUGGUAGUGAUGAUGAUGGUGGUGAUGAUGAUGAUGGUAAUGAUGAUGAUGAUGAUGAUGAUGGUAACGAUGAUGAUGGUGAUGAUGAUGAUGAUGGUGGUGGUGGUGAUGGUGGUGGUGGUGGUAAUGAUGAUGAUGAUGAUGGUGGUGAUGAUGAUGAUAAUGAUGAUGAUGAUGUUUGUAAUGACGAUGAUGGUGAUGAUGGUGGUGAUGAUGAUGAUGAUGGUGGCGGUGGUGGUGGUGAUGAUGAUUAUGAUGUCGGCGAUAGACUAUGA